rnacentral:rRNA from 1 species
UACGUAGGGUGCAAGCGUUGUCCGGAAUUAUUGGGCGUAAAGAGCUCGUAGGCGGUUUGUCGCGUCUGCUGUGAAAUCCCGAGGCUCAACCUCGGGUCUGCAGUGGGUACGGGCAGACUAGAGUGUGGUAGGGGAGAUUGGAAUUCCUGGUGUAGCGGUGAAAUGCGCAGAUAUCAGGAGGAACACCGGUGGCGAAGGCGGGUCUCUGGGCAUUACCUGACGCUGAGGAGCGAAAGCAUGGGGAGCGAACAGG